UACGUAGGGUGCGAGCGUUAAUCGGAAUCACUGGGCUUAAAGCGCGUGUAGGCGGGACGGCACGUCGGUCGCUGAAAUCCCCCGGCUUAACCGGGGAACGGGCGUCGAUACGACCGUCCUGGAGGGGCGUAGGGGGACCUGGAACUUCCGGUGGAGCGGUGAAAUGCGUUGAGAUCGGAAGGAACGCCCGUGGCGAAAGCGAGGUCCUGGACGCCUACUGACGCUGAGACGCGAAAGCCAGGGGAGCGAACGGG
rnacentral:rRNA from 1 species